rnacentral:rRNA from 1 species
UUCCGGUUGAUCCUGCCGGAGGGAACCCCUAUCGGGUUCAGACUAAGCCACGCGAGUCGGCUGGGGGCACUUGCCCCUGGCGGCGCACGGCUCAGUAAUACGCGGUCAACCUACCCUGGGGACCGGGAUAACCUCGGGAAACUGAGGCUAAUCCCGGAUGGGUGUAGGGUGCUGAAAUGCCCCUACGCCGAAAGUAGGCGGGAAAUGGACCGCUGAGGCCCCAGGAUGGGACCGCGGCCUAUCAGGUAGUAGGUGGGGUAACGGCCCACCUAGCCUACGACGGGUACGGGCCCUGAGAGGGGGAGCCCGGAGAUGGGCACUGAGACAAGGGUCUAGGCCCUAAGGGGCGCAGCAGGCGCGAAGAUUCCGCAAUGCCCGAAAGGGCGACGGAGUGAACCCGAGUGCCACCCGCUGAGGGUGGCUGUUCCCCUGUGUAAAAAGCAGGGGGUAGGAAGGGGAGGGCAAGGCUGGUGGCAGCCGCCGCGGUAAAACCAGCUCCCCGAGGGGUUCCCACGCAUACUGGGCCUAAAGCGUCCGUAGCCGGCCCUGUAAGUCCGCAGUUAAAUCCGCCUGUAGACAGGCGGGCUGCUGCGGAUACUGCAGGGCUAGGGAGCGGGAGGAGCCGGGGGUAUUCCCGGGGGAGCGGUAAAAUGCGUAGAUCCCGGGAGGACCACCAGUGGCGAAGGCGCCCGGCUUGAACGCGUCCGACGGUGAGGGACGAAAGCUGGGGGAGCAAACCGGAUUAGAUACCCGGGUAGUCCCAGCCGUAAACGAUGCCGGCUAGGUGCUGGCCAAGGUUUCGACCUUGGCCAGUGUC